rnacentral:rRNA from 1 species
CGGCGUGUACUGUCUGGCUGGGCCUUACUUCUUGGUGAGCCGGUGUGCCCUUUAUUGGUGUGCAUCGGGGAACCAGGACUUUUACCUUGAGAAAAUUAGAGUGUUCAAAGCAGGCCUAUGCCUGAAUACAUUAGCAUGGAAUAAUAGAAUAGGACGUGUGGUUCUAUUUUGUUGGUUUCU